rnacentral:lncRNA from 1 species
CUUUAGGGGUUGCGGAUUACCUUCCUCUAAACUGAUAUUUUCUCAAUCACAAUAUCAGAGCUUAGUUCUUUGAGGCAGAGAGUGGACUACCCCUUUCCUUGGAGAUACUUGAACGUUCUAAGGGUUGCGGAUUACCCUCUCUUGGACUGAUAUUAAUUCUUUCUUUUUGUUUAGCAUAGCUAGUAGAAAAGACUGUUAACAUCGAUUUCAGAGCUUUGCCUUCUUGAU